CAGAGGAAAAGACUUUCUACCUGAGAAGCUUGUUUCUCUCGUGAGAUCUGGCAACAGUUACUUUCAUUAUCAAUGUGUCGCACUUUGUAUUUCUCCAUCUAAAGCCCAGAGCCGUGCAGAGACCAGACUCUGAAGAACUCAGUAUGUCUGUAGACUUACUGAGGGACUUCAGGUUACAACUCUUGUUUAAGGAGCCCAACUCGACCUUCUCCCAACUGAAGAUAGAUGGCGCUGAAGCAGCAGAUGAUGAUAAUGACUCAGCCUACUCAUCUGCCAGUCAGUGAGUGAAAUGUGCUUAC